rnacentral:rRNA from 1 species
ACGCUCGACACCUACUGGAGGCAGCAGUGGGGAAUAUUGCACAAUGGGGGAAACCCUGAUGCAGCGACGCCGCGUGAAGGAAGAAGUAUCUCGGUAUGUAAACUUCUAUCAGCAGGGAAGAAAAUGACGGUACCUGACUAAGAAGCCCCGGCUAACUACGUCGCACAGCCGCGGUAAUCUGAGCGGGCUGGCAAGGC